rnacentral:rRNA from 1 species
AGCGAACGCUGGCGGCAGGCCUAACACAUGCAAGUCGAACGAAGUCUUCGGACUUAGUGGCGGACGGGUGAGUAACACGUGGGAACGUGCCUUUAGGUUCGGAAUAACUCAGGGAGACUUGCUAAUACCGAAUGUGCCCUUCGGGGGAAAGAUUUAUCGCCUUUAGAGCGGCCCGCGUCUGAUUAGCUAGUUGGUGAGGUAAAGGCUCACCAAGGCGACGAUCAGUAGCUGGUCUGAGAGGAUGAUCAGCCACAUUGGGACUGAGACACGGCCCAAACUCCUACGGGAGGCAGCAGUGGGGAAUCUUGCGCAAUGGGCGAAAGCCUGACGCAGCCAUGCCGCGUGAAUGAUGAAGGUCUUAGGAUUGUAAAAUUCUUUCACCGGGGACGAUAAUGACGGUACCCGGAGAAUAAGCACCGGCUAACUUCGUGCCAGCAGCCGCGGUAA